GAUUUCAUCUGAAAAAGUCAUCAAUAACAAAGUUGCAUAACUCAUCAAGAUCUAUAUCUUAUAUUUUGGUUAUUUCUUCAUCCGACAAAUUAAUUUGUAAGAUUGUUCACGAAAUGUACAUCUCUUAUAUAUUCUAUAUAAGAGAUGUACAUUUCGUGAACAAUCUUACAAAUUAAUUUGUCGGAUGAAGAAAUGACUAAAAUAGAAGUUAUAGAUCUUGAUGAGUUAUGCAACUUUGUUAUUGAUGAUUUUUUCAGUUGAAAUC
rnacentral:pre_miRNA from 1 species